CGCCCUUAGCAUUGAUUAAGGGUCGAGCCUGCCCACUGACAAGUUUUAACGGCCGCAGUACCCUGACUGUGCAAAGGUAGCAUAAUCAUUUGUCUUAUAAUUAAGGACUAGCAUGAACGGCCUGAUGCGGGCGCAACUGUCUCUUUUGUGUGUUUAAAAAUUAAUUUAUUGGUCAAAAAGCCAAUAUAUAAUUAUUAGACGAGAAGACCCUAUUGAGCUGAAUUUAUAACUUCUAAUAGCUAAAAAUAAAAAUUUUGUUGGGGUGACAAAGGAAUUACCUAAAACUUCCUUUUAAUCUUUCAUAUUAAGCACUACAAUGAUCCAUUCUUAAUGAUCAAAUAAUAAGUUACCAUAGGGAUAACAGCAUAAUUCUUUUUAAGAGCUCAUAUCGAAAAAAGAGUUUGUGACCUCGAUGUUGGACUAAGGUACACUAAAGGCGCAACCGUUUUUAGUUAUAGUCUGUUCGACUAAUACCCCUU
rnacentral:rRNA from 1 species